rnacentral:rRNA from 1 species
CACGCCGUAAACGAUGUCGACUUGGAGGUUGUUCCCUUGAGGAGUGGCUUCCGGAGCUAACGCGUUAAGUCGACCGCCUGGGGAGUACGGCCGCAAGGUUAAAACUCAAAUGAAUUGACGGGGGCCCGCACAAGCGGUGGAGCAUGUGGUUUAAUUCGAUGCAACGCGAAGAACCUUACCUACUCUUGACAUCCAGAGAACUUAGCAGAGAUGCUUUGGUGCCUUCGGGAACUCUGAGACAGGUGC